ensembl:lncRNA
UAAGAGCAGUUGGGUUAGUCAGGGGAAUAGCAAAGAUGAUGAUGCCUGUAUAUCCCGGAGCCCCGUGGCUGCCGAAAUUUAAAGGGCCUGAUCAGGAUGUGCAAUAUCAGGAUUGGAAGGAGCAGAUGCGGGGGCUGCUGGGAUCGCAGGAGUUGCCUUAAGUGAGGAAAGUUGCUAUUGUGUUGGGAGCGCUAGCAGGUGAGGCUAAACGUCAGGUCAGUGUUCUUGAAACUAGUGAACGAGACCAAGUACAAAAAAUCUUUUCUUUUUUAGACUCCUUAUAUGGUGAUCGUGUCCCCACCCCAGUUCUUAGAUCAGUUUUUUAGUUGCACUCAGAACCCAAGUGAAACCGUAUCUUCAUUUAUUUUGCGGUUGAGAGAAUUAUACUGUAGGUUACGAAAACAUGAUCCAGAUAAUGUCCCCUCUGAUGCAGCCCUGCGAGAUCAAUUGUUGCUAGGAUUGCGGGAGGGCCCUGUAAGUCAGGCACUGAAGGUCUAUGUGCGGCGUAACCCAGACCAAGAUUUUGCUUCCAUACGCCAGGAGGCACUGUUACUAGACUCAGAACAUGUACAGCCCCAGUCUGAGGUAACCUGCCUGUCUGUAAAUAAGUCUCAUGCUCCUUUUAAGGUUGAACAGAAAGAAGAUUGGAAACAGGUGUUAAAGCAGGAGAUACUGGAGGAUGUCAAGUUACAAAUGAAGGGACUGGCACAAGAGCUAGUAAAGGAAAUUAGAGGCCUCACUCAGCCAGUUGUAGCUACUCCAUCGCCUGCGCCUCAGUUUAGGAGAGGACCGCGACGACCAAAUGUUAGCUGGGAUGCCCAAGGUCGGCCCAUUUGUCGGAGGUGUAAACAAGCAGGACAUAUAGCUAGGUUUUGCCAGACCUCCAUGUCUUCUCAGCCCAGUUUAAACUAGAUGACCCUGCUGCUGAGGUCCGAGGGGCGGGGGCUUUUGGUUCACCUAAGGAAUUAAGGGCCACAGAAACAUUCAUUGGGCAGUGUCCAACAGUGAAGAUAGUGAUCGAGGGGGUGGAGCUUCAAGGCUUGUUAGAUACAGGAUCACAAGUGACUUUGAUACAAGAGUUUGUUUAAUGAACAUUUUUCCCAGGCUAAGCUUGAGAAAACUCCAACCGCCUUUAAGCUGAGAGCUGCUAAUGGUCUGGAAAUUCCCUAUACCACCUAUGCUGUCCUGGACAUGGAAAUAGAAGGUGUUAAGGUUCCUGGACGCGGGGUUGUGGUGGUAAAAGAUGACCAUUGCACGCACCCACUGAUUGUUGGUAUGAAUGUUGUGACUGCCUGUUGGAAUGUACUUAAGUGGCCGGAAAAGACUGCUCCUGUCCCACAGCAAUUAGCGAAUCAACAGGCCUGGAGGAGUGCCUUCGCAACCUGCAGACGGAUAGAAGCAAGUACAGUGGAGGACAGAAUGGUGGGGUCGCUACCAGAAACUGGGAAAGCUAUCCUGUGUGGAUGAAGCUGAUGUACAUGGCUCACAGGAUCUGAGCCUGUCCCUUGGGACGGAUGGUGUGGUGGAGGUUGCUCUGGUUGACAGUGGCGCCCCCACGGAGGAGGAGGGAUUACCUGAGGAGAUGAGUAAACUGAUUGAAAGACCUGAUCUGUCUGAACUGCAACAGGGCGAGCUGCGUGCUUUAUUGCUUAAAUGGGAGAAGGUGUUCUCUAAAGAUGACGAAGAUUUUGGGAGGACUGACCUGGUGCAUCAUUGUAUCCCCACAGGUGAUGCAGCUCCCAUUAGAGAGAGGUAUCGUCCUUUGCCCCCUGCAAUGUAUAAAGAAAUGAGGAGCCUCUUGGCAGAUAUGAUGGAAAAGGGAGUUAUCCGGGAAAGCUGUAGCCCGUGGGCUGCACCCAUUGUUUUGGUGAGAAAAAAAGAUGGCACCUGGAGGUUCUGUGUGGAUUACAGAAAAUUGAAUGCGGUGACACAUAAGGAUGCUUUCCCUCUGCCACGAAUAGAAGAGACGUUGACAAGCCUCACCCGAGCGCAGUGGUUUUCCACGCUGGACUUAGCCAGUGGAUACUGGCAGGUCCAAACGGACCCGACAGACAGGGAAAAGACUGCUUUCACUACCCCAGUCGGGUUGUUUGAGUUCGAGCGGAUGCCGUUUGGUCUGUGCAAUGCACCCGCUACGUUCCAACGGCUGAUGCAGCACUGUUUGAGUGGACAGAUUGCAGAGUCUUUGUUGGUGUACUUAGAUGACAUUAUCAUUUAUUCAUCUAGAUGCUGUAAAUGAGACGAAAAGUCAGGUGAAGUGUUUCAGAGGCUGUGGCGCCAUGGGUUGAAGCUACAGCCGAACAAGUGCAAGUUCCUGCAACAGGAGGUGAAAUUUCUGGGUCAUGUAGUGGAUAAGUGUGGUGUAAGACCAGACCCUGAUAAAAUUUCUGCAGUUAUGGAUUGGCCGGUCCCUGAUACCAUCAGACAAGUAAGAUCUUUUCUGGGCCUGGCUGGCUACUACAGACGUUUUGUGUCCGGCUUUGCUAAAAUCGCACGUCCUUUAACUGCAUUACUGACAGGGGUCCCUGUGAACAAGAAAACAGACCGUCGCAAGGUGCAGUGGUCCCCAGAAUGUCAAACGGCCUUUGAGGCCCUCAAAGCAGCUUUAAUGCAAGCACCUGUUUUAGCAUACGCCGAUUACUCUCUUCCAUUUAUUGUGUAUACUGAUGCCAGUGGUCGUGGGCUAGGAGCCGUUCUGGCCCAGGUUCAAGAGGGCCAAGAAAGGGUAAUAGCGUACGCCAGCAGAAGCUUACACCACACGGAACGGAAUGACGCCAACUAUAGUUCUUUCAAGUUGGAGCUGUUAGCCCUAAAGUGGGCAGUCACCGAAAAGUUUAAAGACUAUCUGACUGGUGCACGAUUCAUUGUGUAUACUGAUAAUAACCCUGUGGCCCAUUUACAGACUGCUCGCUUGGGCGCAGCAGAACAACGUUGGGUUGCCCAGCUGGCCUCUUUCGACUAUGAGAUCAAGUAUCGUUCGGGUAAGAGCAAUAUUAAUGCUGAUGCCCUGUCCCGAUUCCCCACUGUCCCAGCAGAGCACCUGGAGGGGGCUGGAUCAGAGCGUGGAGUCACUUCAGCAGCCAUUGAACUGACCUGUGAGGUAGAAGGGAGUGACUGGGCAGAAGCGCAAGCUGGUGAUCCGGAUAUUCAAGUGGUAAAGCAACUUGUGGAAGCCCAGGUCGCGCCCACAAAGUUAGAACGUCAGACAUUGUCACAUGGGGUGCGACGACUCCUGCAGCAACAAAAAAGACUUUUUAUUAAAGACGGAAUAUUGUGCCGUAAAGUGACUCCACUCCGACCGUGGGUCUAAUUUUGAAUCUGCAUUAAUGAAACAACUUUGUGAUACCUAUGGUAUAACUAAAAGUCGCACGACACCUUACCACCCUGCAGGGAAUGGUAGUGUAGAACAUUUCAAUCAGACCCUAUUGAACAUGCUUCGCUCACUAGAAUCAGCUAGACAGAGUCGGUGGGUAGAGAAUCUGCCAGAGCUCGUCCAUGCUUAUAACAAUACUAUCCAUAGUUCCACAGGUUAUGCGCCUGCCUAUUUGAUGUUUGGUCGACACCUGAGACUUCCUGUGGACGUGGCAUUAGGCGUGGCCCCCCAGCAGGCGAGGCAGGAUGUAAGUGAGUGGGUGUAUUCUCAUCAACAGAAACUCUCCCUAGCUUACCGUUUGGCUGGGCAGAGGAUGUAUAGUGCGGCCUCCCAACACAAAAGCCAGUAUGAGAAGAGAGGUUGUACCCUCCCAUUGUUGCCCGGGGAGAGAGUCUGGGUACGUGACCGAAACAGACAGGGCAAAGGAAAGCUGUGUUCCUGGUGGUCUGCUGAGCCGUAUGUGGUGUUGGAACAGGUGGGAGAUACGGGCUUAGUGUAUAAGGUCAAACCAGAAAAGGGGGGUAAUAUACAAACUUUACAUAGAAAUGCCUUAAAAGUGUGUGUUGCUCCUCGAACAGACUUUACCCCUCCUACGGAGGAGCCGACCACAGGCACUUCGGAUUUCCCAGUGCCAGUGUUUUAUGGGUUUUUACCCCCUACUGACUGUGUGUCACCUCACCAGAGUGACUCAGGUAUGUCCCUUAGACGGUCCACUAGGACCACGCGUGGGAUUCCACCAGAGCGUUAUAGGGAGAUGGAGCAUUAGCAGGGACUGCUAAUAUUUCAGUGUGGG